rnacentral:rRNA from 1 species
UGAGGAAUAUUGGUCAAUGGACGAGAGUCUGAACCAGCCAAGUAGCGUGCAGGAUGACGGCCCUAUGGGUUGUAAACUGCUUUUAUAAGGGAAUAAAGUGAGAGUCGUGACUCUUUUUGCAUGUACCUUAUGAAUAAGGACCGGCUAAUUCCGUGCCAGCAGCCGCGGUAAUACGGAAGGUCCGGGCGUUAUCCGGAUUUAUUGGGUUUAAAGGGAGCGUAGGCCGGAGAUUAAGCGUGUUGUGAAAUGUAGACGCUCAACGUCUGCACUGCAGCGCGAACUGGUUUCCUUGAGUACGCACAAAGUGGGCGGAAUUCGUGGUGUAGCGGUGAAAUGCUUAGAUAUCACGAAGAACUCCGAUUGCGAAGGCAGCUCACUGGAGCGCAACUGACGCUGAAGCUCGAAAGUGCGGGUAUCGAACAGG